rnacentral:misc_RNA from 1 species
ACAAAUCAAGAUUGUCAAUAAUUAGUCAUUUCCAUCUGAGAUAUGUGCGCAGAAAAUCACAAUCAUAUUUAAGGAAAGGAUGGAUAAAGAGGGUUAAUAUUGGAAGACUGUCUCAUAGGAGACAAAAGACUUUUACCGGGAAGAAUUUAAAAAAUACUGUAUAUGAGAUGAGGCAAUAACAUUCCUUAUAAAGGAGGCUUGGAAGCGCAAGGCUGCAGAGUGCUACAGGGCACUCAUGUGUACUAUGAGGAAAGGAAAAGAAAAGGUUGUGGUGCCUGAUAGUACAAUGCGCAAAUGAAAAAAAGGCAUGGAGUAAGCUAGAUUUCAAAGCUAGGAGUGAAAAAUUCACUGCUAACCGCCAUCGUGAGAUAGGAGGAGUCGGAGCAGGCAUUUUUCACCAUACAGGAGGCUCGCUAUCACAUGCUUUGCAUACAGAAAGAUUAGUAAUAAUUUAAUAUUUAUUGGUUCUUUUAGUGCUUAACUAUAUAUUAAUAGGGAAUAUUCCAACAUAAUUAUUAACUAAAAUCAUUGUGCCUUUUUCAAAAAUCUAAACUUGGUUGAGCACCUCUCGCCU